UAAGAUGGAUUGAUUGUAAUAAAAUGUUACAUACAGUAUAGGUUAUGUACAAAUGGGAAGGGGGUAAGGAAGGUUCUAGAAGAUUCGCGUGCGACCCCGUUUCCGGUGUAUAUUAAAAGGUUGCCUAUGUUCUUAGACGAAAUAAUGCUUUGCCUAGGUAGGGUCAAUACGAGACAAGGGAAAGUUAACGAGGCACAACAGAGGCCUACGUAAGCACGAAGAUAAUACGAGGCAGCUGCUUCGUGCAGGUGAAGAAAGCAGAUGCUUCCUUACAAUAAAACAUGGAGUUAGAAUUUCAUGGAAGGCGUAUUUAUUUUGUCCUUCAUAUGAAUGUCUCUGUUCCAAAAUAAAUAUUUGAAGGUAAUCAGGUAUUCGUCUUAAAUUAAA